UGGGGGAUAUUGCACAAUGGGGGAAACCCUGAUGCAGCAAUGCCGCGUGAGGGAAGAAGGUUUUCGGAUUGUAAACCUCUGUCCCGGGUGAAGAAAAAUGACGGUAGCCCGGGAGGAAGCUCCGGCUAACUACGUGCCAGCAGCCGCGGUAAUACGUAGGGAGCGAGCGUUGUCCGGAAUUACUGGGUGUAAAGGGUGCGUAGGCGGCCUAGCAAGUCAGGCGUGAAAUACAUGGGCUUAACUCAUGGACUGCGCUUGAAACUGUAUGGCUUGAGUGAAGUAGAGGCAGGCGGAAUUCCCGGUGUAGCGGUGAAAUGCGUAGAGAUCGGGAGGAACACCAGUGGCGAAGGCGGUCUGCUGGGCUUUAACUGACGCUGAUGCACGAAAGCAUGGGUAGCAAACAGG
rnacentral:rRNA from 1 species